rnacentral:rRNA from 1 species
UGGGGAAUAUUGCACAAUGGAGGGAACUCUGAUGCAGCGACGCCGCGUGAACGAAGAAGGCUUUCGAGUCGUAAAGUUCUUUUAUAUGGGAAGAUAAUGACGGUACCAUAAGAAACAGCCCCGGCUAACUACGUGCCAGCAGCCGCGGUAAUACGUAGGGGGCUAGCGUUGUCCGGAAUCACUGGGCGUAAAGGGUUCGCAGGCGGAAAUGCAAGUCAGGUGUAAAAGGCAGUAGCUUAACUACUGUAAGCAUUUGAAACUGCAUAUCUUGAGAAGAGUAGAGGUAAGUGGAAUUUUUAGUGUAGCGGUGAAAUGCGUAGAUAUUAAAAAGAAUACCGGUGGCGAAGGCGACUUACUGGGCUCAUUCUGACGCUGAGGAACGAAAGCGUGGGUAGCAAACAGG